GUCCUUAAAGCUGCCACAAAUCUCACAGCAGAGGCAGAACGUCUCUCACAGUCAAUUUUAUAGAUCACUGUGGGAGAACGGAAUAUAGUAAGGAAAGGCCCGAGAAACAAAUAAUUAGUUUUCACUGUGACUGCCUGUGGAGGAUGGCCUGUGUGCCAGGCAGCCAGUGCUUGAGAAUUCAUCACUGGAGGGAGUGUACGUGCAGAACAUCAGUUCAGUGGGAUGCUGGCUCCUCUCGACCAAUAGGAAUUGGUCCAUGGACCAGAACGUUGAUCUUUGCCUUCUCUGAUGCAAAAUAUGACGUUGCAAAGACGGAGCCAGUGGAGUCACAUGCUCACGCUGAGAGAGGAGCUGCCAGUGAGCUUUCAGUGUUUUCCCAGGCUGACCGGUCAUCCCAGGCAACAUCCCUUGGCAUGUGAAUGUGUACAGUGGGUGUGAGAUUGUGUUCCAAUCCCAGCAGGUCUGCUUAUGAAUAAACACAGAUAUAUAGCUUAUUAUGUAUGCAUGUAUAUCUGUAAGCCUGGCCAUCUGGUUCUAAGCAAGGACAAGUGUUCCCAAGGAUGAGUGGGUGUAUAUAAAAAUAAAACGGACAGUAAAAAAGAAAAAAAAAACAGAAAAAAGAAAAAACAACAGAUUUCUCUAGCCCAAGCUCAACUUUUUCCAAGCUGAGGGAAGAUGCUGUGAAGUCCUGUAAAAACACAAAGCAAGAUCAGAGGUCACAUGAUGAGAUGCCAGUUCUCUUUUAACUCCAAUGAAGAGGAAAAGAAGGCUUAUAGGGACAUCACUAGGAGGCCCUGGGCUGCGUGCUGCCAUACACGUCCACCAAAAUAACAUAUCUGAAAGCAUGAUGAGACUCAGAGGAAGCAGGCAUGAAAACAGGAGAAUGACUCCAAAAACUUCAAAUGUGCAGAUGACACCAUACUGUAUUGGACAAUGAGGACCGUGGAGAAAAGGAUGUGUGCCUGGCGAAUGCAAGCUAUACAGAAUGGGCCAGGACAUAGGAACACUCACCAGGUUGAAGACAGACUACAGAGGUUUAUUCAGUUCAGCAAAAAGGGAUGCAAGUAUGAGCGGAUGCUUCAAAAUUGUACAAGAAUAAAAUAUACAGAGAAAGCAAGGUAUCUUACACAGUUUGAGAGCUAUUCAAAACUCCUGCUCCCUCCCCUGAUUGGCAGAAAGAGGAGCCGGUCUGGAUUUGCAGCCUGAUUGGCUGAGAGCGCUGCUGACGUUGCCAUCUCCAGGCGGGGAUUCCCUUUCACAGGGAAAUGACAGCCAAGGAUUUUCCAGCCAAGGAACCAAUAAGCUUGGGGACAUCCCCCUGGAAGGAGACAUCACUUGUAAAGACAAUGGCAAGGAAAUGAUAAUGAAAUAUAAUCCUUCCUCUCCUUCAAAAAACAACUGAAAACUCAUUUUUGCUCAUUAGCAUAUGGAGAGGAGGGGGAUUAGGAAAUGAGCGAUCACUACAGGACCUUUGGUUGAGAACUAUUGUUGUGUUCGAGCCUGUUAGUCGAUGUUGGCCCAACAGUCAUCACUGGCCACACAGUCAACCCAUAUGACUUUGUGAACUUUGGUUGGCUCCUGUAAAUCCAUGUGGAUGUUUUAUGUCAUUUAUAAUUUUGUUUAAUUACGUUUUAUUUAAUUUAUUGAUGUUAGGUUCUAAUUUUACGUUUACAUGUGGGAUUAUUCUGGAUUAUUUUGUUGGCAUAUGUUUGUUUUUUAGUGGCAUUGUUUGCCUUUUUGUAUGUUGGAAUCUACCCUGAGUCUCCCUGGGGAGAUAGGGUGGAAUACAAAUAAAGUUUGUUUGUUUAUCUAUAUAUAUAUAAAAGGAUAAAGUUGUUUGCACAGUGACUAUAACAACAAAUUUAAACGUCCCAGAAAUAUGAAACUUGGCAACUCAACGCAAAAGCCUUGCCUCCUGAUUAUAACAACACAACCACACCACAAAACCACAAUCCGGACCCACAAAACUCACAACAACGCAUCAUGACUAUAACAACACAACUAAACACCCCAGAAAUACGAAACUUAACAACACAAUGCAAAAGUCUUGCCUCCCGGCUGUAACAACACAACCACACCACAAAACCACAAUCCGGACCCACAAAACUCAACGCAUCAUGACUAUAACAACACAACUAAACGCCCUAGAAAUACAAAACUUGGCACACAACUAAACACCCCAGAAAUACAAAACUUGACAACACAAUGCAAAAGCCUUACCUCCCGGUUGUAACAACACAAUCACACCACAAAACCACAAUCCGGACCCACAAAACUUACAACAACGCAUUGUGAUUUUAACAACACAACUAAACGCCCCAGAAAUACGAAACUUGGUAACACAACGCAAAAGCCUUCCCUCUCGGUUGUAACAACACAACCACACCACAAAAGGAGGGAGGGAAGGGAAGCGAAGGAAUGCCAAGGACAAGAGCCCUCCCUCUCUGCCUGGAAGGCCAAGAGCAAAAGGGAGAGAAAGACCAUUGAUCCAGUUAUAUUUACCCUCCUUUCUGACCAGUGUGUUCUUAUCAGCGAGCUCAGGAUGAGAGCAGAGAAAGGGAACAGCAUAGGACUAAAGGAAACAAGGAGAGCACUC